CCUGUCCUUAGAGGUGUUGCAAGUAUGGCUACUGUUCACAUGUUCAUCAGUGGAUGGCAGAGAAGAGAGAUGCUAUGUCUAUGCUCAGUGUUCUGAUCUAUGAACAUCUGAAUGAUUAGUAGUCUAACAUU
ensembl:snoRNA